CUCCUAUACGUAGCCUAAACUUAUUAUUUAAAGUUGAGUAUAGCUAUAUAAAUAAAUGGUACUCUCAUUCUCUAGUAGUUUUAGUUUUUUUUCCCCAAUUUUUUAUAUGGCAGAUUCUUCAGAAAAAAAUUCUUCCUCUGAUUAUUUUUGUGCUGAUUUUAAAGGAAAAAUAUUGACUAAAGUUGAAACUGAAUUCAGUGAAGAUGAAGAAGCUUUGAUAAUCAGUAUGUACAAUUUGCUUGGCAAGAGGUUUCUUAACUUCUUCAUAAAUUCAAUAAUACAAUAGGCAUGACAAAUCAUACAAGCAUAUAUAUAUAUAUAUAUAUAUACUCGAGUAAUAACUCAACAUCAAAAAUAAAAUAAUCAAAA